rnacentral:snoRNA from 1 species
UUGAUGAGAGCUGGUAUUACAGAGCCGUGAAGAAAGACACCAAAGCUGA